AUUGAACGCUGGCGGCAUGCUUUACACAUGCAAGUCGAACGGUAACAGGUUAAGCUGACGAGUGGCGAACGGGUGAGUAAUGCAUCGGAACGUGCCCGAUCGUGGGGGAUAACGCAGCGAAAGCUGCGCUAAUACCGCAUACGAUCUGAGGAUGAAAGCGGGGGACCGUAAGGCCUCGCGCGAUCGGAGCGGCCGAUGUCAGAUUAGGUAGUUGGUGGGGUAAAGGCUCACCAAGCCGACGAUCUGUAGCUGGUCUGAGAGGACGACCAGCCACACUGGGGCUGAGACACGGCCCAGACUCCUACGGGAGGCAGCAGUGGGGAAUUUUGGACAAUGGGCGAAAGCCUGAUCCAGCAAUGCCGCGUGCAGGAAGAAGGCCUUCGGGUUGUAAACUGCUUUUGUACGGAGCGAAAGGGCUCUCUCUAAUACAGGGGGCUCAUGACGGUACCGUAAGAAUAAGCACCGGCUAACUACGUGCCAGCAGCCGCAGUAA
rnacentral:rRNA from 1 species